rnacentral:rRNA from 1 species
ACUACAGGCCAUACCACCCUGUCUUGCUUGAUCUCAUCUGAUCUUGGAAGCUAAACAGGGUCGGGCCUGGUUAGUACUUGGAUGGGAGACAGCCUGGGAAUACCAGGUGCUGUAAGCU